rnacentral:rRNA from 1 species
AACGAACGCUGGCGGCAUGCCUAACACAUGCAAGUCGAACGCUUGCAGCAAUGCAAGAGUGGCGGACGGGUGAGGAACACGUGGGAACCUGCCCCUCAGUAAGGAAUAACAUCGGGAAACUGGUGCUAAUACCUUAUAUUGCUCGGAGUUUUCAAAGAAACCCCGAGUGAAAGAUUUAUCGCUGAGGGAGGGGCCCGCGUCCGAUUAGCUAGUUGGUAAGGUAAUGGCUUACCAAGGCACCGAUCGGUAGCUGGUCUGAGAGGAUGAUCAGCCACACUGGGACUGAGACACGGCCCAGACUCCUACGGGAGGCAGCAGUGGGGAAUAUUGGACAAUGGGCGGAAGCCUGAUCCAGCAAUGCCGCGUGAGUGAUGAAGGCCUUAGGGUUGUAAAGCUCUUUUGCCCACGACGAUAAUGACGGUAGUGGGAGAAUAAAGCCCCGGCUAACUUCGUGCCAGCAGCCGCGGUAAUACGAAGGGGGCUAGCGUUGUUCGGAGUUACUGGGCGUAAAGGGCGCGUAGGCGGCCCUGUCAGUCAGGCGUGAAAGCCCUGGGCUCAACCCCGGGAACUGCGCUUGAUACUGCAAGGCUUGAGGACGGGAGAGGUGAGUGGAAUUCCUAGUGUAGAGGUGAAAUUCGUAGAUAUUAGGAAGAACACCAGUGGCGAAGGCGGCUCACUGGACCGUAUCUGACGCUGAGGCGCGAAAGCGUGGGGAGCAAACAGGAUUAGAUACCCUGGUAGUCCACGCCCUAAAGGAUGCUGACUAGUUGUUCGGGAUUUACAUCCUGAGUAACGUAGCUAACGCGUGAAGUCAGCCGCCUGGGGAGUACGGUCGCAAGAUUAAAACUCAAAGGAAUUGACGGGGACCCGCACAAGCGGUGGAUGAUGUGGAUUAAUUCGAUGCAACGCGAAAAACCUUACCUACCCUUGACAUGUCACUAACGAAGUAGAGAUACAUUAGGUGCUCGUAAGAGAAAGUGAACACAGGUGCUGCAUGGCUGUCGUCAGCUCGUGCCGUGAGAUGUUGGGUUAAGUCCCGCAACGAGCGCAACCC